rfam:TPA: Bos taurus chromosome 1, whole genome shotgun sequence.
UCCCUGGUGGCUCAGUGGUAAAGAAUCUGCCUGCCAAUGCAGGAGACACAGGUUCAAUCCCUGGUCCAGGAA